rnacentral:rRNA from 1 species
GCAGAACGCGAAGAACCUUACCUGGCCUUGACAUGCUGAGAACUUUCCAGAGAUGGAUUGGUGCCUUCGGGAACUCAGACACAGGUGCUGCAUGGCUGUCGUCAGCUCGUGUCGUGAGAUGUUGGGUUAAGUCCCGUAACGAGCGCAACCCUUGUCCUUAGUUACCAGCACCUCGGGUGGGCACUCUAAGGAGACUGCCGGUGACAAACCGGAGGAAGGUCGGGGAUGACGUCAAGUCAUCAUGGCCCUUACGGCCAGGGCUACACACGUGCUACAAUGGUCGGUACAGAGGGUUGCCAAGCCGCGAGGCGGAGCUAAUCUCACAAAACCGAUCGUAGUCCGGAUCGCAGUCUGCAACUCGACUGCGUGAAGUCGGAAUCGCUAGUAAUCGUGAAUCAGAAUGUCACGGUGAAUACGUUCCCGGGUCUUGUACACACCG